UACGGGGGGGGCAAGCGUUGUUCGGAAUUACUGGGCGUAAAGGGCGCGUAGGCGGCCAGACCAAGUCGAGUGUGAAAUUGCAGGGCUUAACUUUGCAGGGUCGCUCGAUACUGGUCGGCUAGAGUGUGGAAGAGGGUACUGGAAUUCCCGGUGUAGCGGUGAAAUGCGCAGAUAUCAGGAGGAACACCUAUGGCGAAGGCAGCUCGCUGGGACGGUACUGACGCUGAGGCGCGAAAGCGUGGGGAGCGAACAGG
rnacentral:rRNA from 1 species